UUAGCUUGUUGGCGGGGUAACGGCCCACCAAGGCAACGAUCAGUAGGGGUUCUGAGAGGAAGGUCCCCCACAUUGGAACUGAGACACGGUCCAAACUCCUACGGGAGGCAGCAGUGAGGAAUAUUGGUCAAUGGACGGAAGUCUGAACCAGCCAAGUAGCGUGCAGGAUGACGGCCCUAUGGGUUGUAAACUGCUUUUGUAUGGGGAUAAAGUUAGGGACGUGUCCCUAUUUGCAGGUACCAUACGAAUAAGGACCGGCUAAUUCCGUGCCAGCAGCCGCGGUAAUACGGAAGGUCCAGGCGUUAUCCGGAUUUAUUGGGUUUAAAGGGAGCGUAGGCUGGAGAUUAAGUGUGUUGUGAAAUGUAGACGCUCAACGUCUGAAUUGCAGCGCAUACUGGUUUCCUUGAGUACGCACAACGUUGGCGGAAUUCGUCGUGUAGCGGUGAAAUGCUUAGAUAUGACGAAGAACUCCGAUUGCGAAGGCAGCUGACGGGAGCGCAACUGACGCUUAAGCUCGAAGGUGCGGGUAUCAAACAGGAUUAGAUACCCUGGUAGUCCGCACAGUAAACGAUGGAUGCCCGCUGUUGGUACCUGGUAUCAGCGGCUAAGCGAAAGCAUUAAGCAUCCCACCUGGGGAGUACGCCGGCAACGGUGAAACUCAAAGGAAUUGACGGC
rnacentral:rRNA from 1 species